GAGGCCGCCCCCUGCCGCCCGGAGGCCGCGAGCCGCCCGGCCCGGCCCUCGCCGCGGGGAUGCCUGCGCGGAACCUGCUGCUCGGCGAGCUCCAGGCCCUUCCCGGCGCGGAGACCCUCCGGACGCUGGGGGGCCGCUCCAGCCCGCAGACGCCGAGGUUCUCGCACUGCCCCUCGCGCCCGAGGUCCCUGCAGGAGGACAUGGCCCAGCAGAAAAGUAGGCUGGAGCCACCCACCUUGGAGUCCUGCCAAUGUAGCGGAAGCUGCCUCCUUCAGGACGGAGCAGGAACAAAAAAGUCAGAGCAGGAGCCAGUCCAAACUUUUGGCACAUCCAGCAUCAAUUUUGCUGUGAACUCUAAUCCUCCAAGUAAAAUCCAGAAAACCCCAGCCUCUCUGGCAGCCAGGACAGAGCAUGUGACCAUCUUUGGUUUAUUUUGGGAGGGAGUCACAAAGAGAAGAUUUCUAUCACUGAAAAUAAAUGGAGAAAAGUGA
rnacentral:lncRNA from 1 species